AUUGAACGCUGGCGGCAUGCUUUACACAUGCAAGUCGAACGGCAGCACGGGCUUCGGCCUGGUGGCGAGUGGCGAACGGGUGAGUAAUGCAUCGGAACGUGCCCAUUUGUGGGGGAUAACUACGCGAAAGCGUGGCUAAUACCGCAUACGCCCUGAGGGGGAAAGCGGGGGAUUCUUCGGAACCUCGCGCAAUUGGAGCGGCCGAUGUCAGAUUAGCUUGUUGGUGAGGUAAAGGCUCACCAAGGCGACGAUCUGUAGCGGGUCUGAGAGGAUGAUCCGCCACACUGGGACUGAGACACGGCCCAGACUCCUACGGGAGGCAGCAGUGGGGAAUUUUGGACAAUGGGGGCAACCCUGAUCCAGCCAUGCCGCGUGAGUGAAGAAGGCCU
rnacentral:rRNA from 1 species